rnacentral:rRNA from 1 species
GGAGUUAGCCGGUGCUUCUUCUGUGAGUGAUGUCCUUCCUGCCGGUUAUUGACCCGCAGGCCUUCUUCCUCACUGAAAGUGCUUUACAACCCGAAGGCCUUCUUCACACACGCGGCAUGGCUGGAUCAGGGUUGCCCCCAUUGUCCAAUAUUCCCCACUGCUGCCUCCCGUAGGAGUCUGGGCCGUGUCUCAGUCCCAGUGUGGCUGAUCAUCCUCUCAGACCAGCUACGGAUCGUCGCCUUGGUGAGCCGUUACCUCACCAACCAGCUAAUCCGACAUAUGCUCAUCCGAUAGCGCGAGGCCCGAAGGUCCCCCGCUUUCCCCCGUAGGGCGUAUGCGGUAUUAGCCUGGGUUUCCCCAGGUUAUCCCCCACUACCGGGCAGAUUCCUAUGCAUUACUCACCCGUCCGCCGCUCGCCACCAGGGAGCAAGCUCCCCGUGCUGCCGCUCGACUUGCAUGUGUUAGGCCUGCCGCCAGCGUUCAAUCUGAGCCAGAAUACGAACCCUCGA